rnacentral:sRNA from 1 species
GCAGACCUAGCGCGUCCAGGUGGGAGGUUGGUGUGGCCCGGGCGUCCGCUCCUCAGCGGAUGUGGCAGCCCCGAGCCAUGGCUCUCGCCGUCCGAGUCGUUUAUUGGAAUCCCUUAAGAGAGGGGAAUUUUAGGCCAGGCGCCGUUGAUCACGCCUGUAAUCCAAACACUGGGAGGCUGAGGCGGGUGGAUCGCUUGAGCCCAAGAGUUCGAGACCAGCCUGGGCAACCCAGGGAGACCCCCUCGUCUCUACAGAAACUUAAAAAGUUAGCCGGGCAUGGUGGCGCACUCUUGUAGUCGCAGCUGCUUGGGAGGCUGAGGCAGGAGGAUCACUGGACCCCGGAAGGCGGAAGUUGCAGUGAGCUGAAAUCGCGCCACUGCACUCCAUCCUGGACAGCAGAGCGAGACUCUGUCUCAAAAAAAAAAAAAAGUAAAUUAAAGAGAGGAAUUUUAGUUCUGUGUUACAGGUGAGAAAACUGAGGCUGGGACUGGGGUGGGGGCAGGUCAGUAGCUUCAAGUCUGGACUGCAGGUGACGGGUAACUGGAACCUGGGUUUGUCGGCAGCUUUCCA